UCAGGCCUACACCCCACCUCACCAUCAACAAUCAAAACAGAAUUCAGAUAUUGUAAGUAAUCUUCAUCAACCUCACUCAGCACAUAAUCAGAAACAAGGGAAUUCUGUAUAACAUUUGAUCGCUUUCCUAUUAAUUCACUAGGUAUAUAGUCAUCCCUACAAGAAUUCAGGAAUAUCUGGUAAUCCUCAUCCACAACAAUUAACUCCAUAUUAGUCUGGGCAUUGUUGUUGGGGACACCAGAAACAUUUUCAUGUGGCCUUUUCUUACUAAGUCCUCUUUUAGCCUCCAAAUUCUGCUUUCCUAUUGAUUCACUAGGUAUAUAGUCAUCCCUACAAGAAUUCAGGAAUAUCUGGUAAUCCUCAUCCACAACAAUUAACUCCAUAUUAGUCUGGGCAUUAUUGUUGGGGACACCAGAAACAUUUUCAUGUGGCCUUUUCUUACUAAGUCCUCUUUUAGCCUCCAAAUUCUGCUUUUCUAUUAAUUCACUAGGUAUAUAGUCAUCCCUACAAGAAUUCAGGAAAAUCUGGUAAUCUUCGUCCACAAUAUCUAACUCCAUAUUAGUCUGGGCAUUGUUGUUGGGGACACCAGAAACAUUUUCAUGUGGCCUUUUCUUACUAAGUCCUCUUUUAGCCUCCAAAUUCUGCUUUUCUAUUAAUUCACUAGGUAUAUAGUCAUCCCUACAAGAAUUCAGGAAUAUCUGGUAAUCUUCGUCCACAAUAUCUAACUCCUUAUUAGUCUGGGCAUUGUUCUUGGGGACACC
rnacentral:lncRNA from 1 species